rnacentral:tRNA from 2 species
AGUGUGGCUCAGUUUGGUAGAGCGCUGCGUUCGGGACGCAGAGGUCGUGGGUUCGAAUCCCGUCACUU